rnacentral:tRNA from 1 species
GUUUCGUCACCGGUGUGGCGCCCGGUCUUCAAAACCGGUGGUGGGCCUGAUCGUCCACGGUAGGUUCGACUCCUAUGCGUCUC